rnacentral:rRNA from 1 species
CAGCAGCCGCGGGAAUACGUAGGUGGCGAGCGUUGUCCGGAAUCAUUGGGCGUAAAGGGAGCGCAGGCGGGCAUGUAAGUCUUUCUUAAAAGUGCGGGGCUCAACCCCGUGAUGGGAAAGAAACUACAUGUCUUGAGUACAGGAGAGGAAAGCGGAAUUCCCAGUGUAGCGGUGAAAUGCGUAGAUAUUGGGAGGAACACCAGUGGCGAAGGCGGCUUUCUGGACUGCAACUGACGCUGAGGCUCGAAAGCCAGGGGAGCGAACGGGAUUAGAUACCCGCGUAGUCCCUGUCUCUUAUACA